GGAAUUUGCACAAUCUAUGCGCAUAAAACUUAAUCUUCUACUCCCGGGAGUAUCAGAUGAUAUGAUGCGACAACACAUAGACAUGAAAAUCAAUCAAACAUUUCCAGCCUUUUCAAAUCAGCAAGCAAGGCCCCUCCAGCGGCUUAGUUGGUUGUUGCACAAGCGGGAUAUGGAAAAAAUUAUGAAUCGUUUGGAAAAUUUUGUGCAUAUUACCAUGGCAAUGGCUCAAGUGAUUGCUAGCGUCGGUAAUAUGAUAAGAAGUGCUACACAGGAUCAGGUAAAGGUUUGUAUUGGAU